rnacentral:rRNA from 1 species
GACGUAGGGGGCGAGCGUUGUCCGGAUUCAUUGGGCGUAAAGAGCGCGUAGGCGGCCCGGAAAGUGGGGUGUGAAAACCCGAGGCUCAACCUCGGGCGUGCACUCCAAACUCCCGGGCUCGAGGCAGGUAGGGGAGAUCGGAAUUCCUGGUGUAGCGGUGAAAUGCGCAGAUAUCAGGAGGAACACCGGUGGCGAAGGCAGCCCCCUGGGCUAACACUGACGCUCAGGCACGAAAGCGUGGGGAGCAAACAGG